GACCGAGGGUGCAAGCGUUGCUCGGAAUCACUGGGCGUAAAGGGCGUGUAGGCGGGAAGGCAAGUCAGAUGUGAAAUCCCUGGGCUCAACCCAGGAACUGCAUUUGAAACUCCCUUUCUUGAGUGUCGGAGAGGAAAGUGGAAUUCCUGGUGUAGAGGUGAAAUUCGUAGAUAUCAGGAGGAACACCGGUGGCGAAGGCGGCUUUCUGGACGACAACUGACGCUGAGACGCGAAAGCGUGGGGAGCAAACAGG
rnacentral:rRNA from 1 species